rnacentral:miRNA from 14 species
CAGUCUCAGUGUGCAUUUUCAU